AUUCUUCUUUGUGACUUCCUG
rnacentral:misc_RNA from 1 species